rnacentral:rRNA from 1 species
UGGGGAAUUUUGGACAAUGGGCGAAAGCCUGAUCCAGCAAUGCCGCGUGUGUGAAGAAGGCCUUCGGGUUGUAGAGCACUUUUGUCCGGAAAGAAAUCCGCCUGGCUAAUACCCGGGCGGGAUGACGGUACCGGAAGAAUAAGCACCGGCUAACUACGUGCCAGCAGCCGCGGUAAUACGUAGGGUGCGAGCGUUAAUCGGAAUUACUGGGCGUAAAGCGUGCGCAGGCGGUUAUGCAAGACAGGUGUGAAAUCCCCGGGCUCAACCUGGGAACUGCACUUGUGACUGCAUGACUAGAGUGCGUCAGAGGGAGGUGGAAUUCCGCGUGUAGCAGUGAAAUGCGUAGAGAUGCGGAGGAACACCGAUGGCGAAGGCAGCCUCCUGGGAUGACACUGACGCUCAUGCACGAAAGCGUGGGGAGCAAACAG